rnacentral:rRNA from 1 species
UACGGGGGGGGCAAGCGUUGUUCGGAAUUACUGGGCGUAAAGGGCUCGUAGGUGGCCAACUAAGUCAGACGUGAAAUCCCUCGGCUUAACCGGGGAACUGCGUCUGAUACUGGAUGGCUUGAGAUUGGGAGAGGGAUGCGGAAUUCCCGGUGUAGUGGUGAAAUGCGUAGAUAUCGGGAGGAACACCAGUGGCGAAGGCGACUACCUGGCCUGUUCUUGACGCUGAGGCGCGAAAGCUAGGGUAGCAAACGGG